rnacentral:rRNA from 1 species
UCCGGAAGUCAUCGAUGCCACGCUUCCAGGAAAAGCCUCUAAGCUUCAGAUCACAUGCGACCGUACCCCAAACCGACACAGGUGGUCAGGGUGAGAAUCCCAAGGCGCUUGAGAGAACUCGGGUGAAGGAACUAGGCAAAAUGGCACCGUAACUUCGGGAGAAGGUGCGCCGGCGUAGCGUGAAGAGACUCGCUCUCCUAGCGCGAACCGGUCGAAGAUACCAGGUGGCUGCAACUGUUUAUUAAAAACACAGCACUCUGCUAACGCGUAAGCGGACGUAUAGGGUGUGACGCCUGCCCGGUGCCGGAAGGUUAAUUGAUGGUGUUAGCGCAAGCGAAGCUCCUGAUCGAAGCCCCGGUAAACGGCGGCCGUAACUAUAACGGUCCUAAGGUAGCGAAAUUCCUUGUCGGGUAAGUUCCGACCUGCACGAAUGGCGUAAUGAUGGCCACGCUGUCUCCACCCGAGACUCAGUGAAAUUGAAAUCGCAGUGAAGAUGCUGUGUACCCGCGGCUAGACGGAAAGACCCCGUGAACCUUUACUAUAGCUUCACACUGGACGCUGAUGUUGCUUGUGUAGGAUAGCUGGGAGGCUUGGAAACCGUGACGCCAGUUGCGGUGGAGCCAACCUUGAAAUACCAGCCUGGCAUCAUUGGCGUUCUAACUUCGCACCGUGAUCCGGUGUAAGGACAGUGUGUGGUGGGUAGUUUGACUGGGGCGGUCUCCUCCGAAAGCGUAACGGAGGAGCACGAAGGUACCCUCAGCACGGUUGGAAAUCGUGCAUUGAGUGCAAGAGCAUAAGGGUGCUUAACUGCGAGACAGACACGUCGAGCAGGUACGAAAGUAGGUUCUAGUGAUCCGGUGGUUCUGUAUGGAAGGGCCAUCGCUCAACGGAUAAAAGGUACUCCGGGGAUAACAGGCUGAUACCGCCCAAGAGUUCACAUCGACGGCGGUGUUUGGCACCUCGAUGUCGGCUCAUCACAUCCUGGGGCUGAAGUCGGUCCCAAGGGUAUGGCUGUUCGCCAUUUAAAGUGGUACGCGAGCUGGGUUUAGAACGUCGUGAGACAGUUCGGUCCCUAUCUGCCGUGGGCGUUGGAGAUUUGAGAAGCGCUGCUCCUAGUACGAGAGGACCGGAGUGGACGCACCUCUGGUGUUCCGGUUGUCACGCCAGUGGCACUGCCGGGUAGCUAUGUGCGGACGGGAUAACCGCUGAAGGCAUCUAAGCGGGAAGCCCCCUUCAAGAUGAGAUCUCCCUGAGACUUCGAGUCUCCUAAAGGGUCCAGCAAGACGAGCUGGUUGAUAGGCACGGUGUGGAAGCGCUGCAAGGCGUUGAGCUAACGUGUACUAAUGCCCCGUGAGGCUUGACCAUAUAACCCCAAGGGGU